UACGAAGGGGGCUAGCGUUGCUCGGAAUCACUGGGCGUAAAGGGUGCGUAGGCGGGUCUUUAAGUCAGGGGUGAAAUCCUGGAGCUCAACUCCAGAACUGCCUUUGAUACUGAAGAUCUUGAGACCGGAAGAGGUAAGUGGAACUGCGAGUGUAGAGGUGAAAUUCGUAGAUAUUCGCAAGAACACCAGUGGCGAAGGCGGCUUACUGGUCCGGUUCUGACGCUGAGGCGCGAAAGCGUGGGGAGCAAACAGG
rnacentral:rRNA from 1 species